AUUGAACGCUGGCGGCAGGCCUAACACAUGCAAGUCGAGCGGCAGCGGGAAGUAGCUUGCUACUUUGCCGGCGAGCGGCGGACGGGUGAGUAAUGUCUGGGAAACUGCCUGAUGGAGGGGGAUAACUACUGGAAACGGUAGCUAAUACCGCAUAAUGUCGCAAGACCAAAGAGGGGGACCGUCGGGCCUCUCGCCAUCAGUUGUGCCCAGAUGGGAUUAGCUAGUAGGUGGGGUAACGGCUCACCUAGGCGACGAUCCCUAGCUGGUCUGAGAGGAUGACCAGCCACACUGGAACUGAGACACGGUCCAGACUCCUACGGGAGGCAGCAGUGGGGAAUAUUGCACAAUGGGCGCAAGCCUGAUGCAGCCAUGCCGCGUGUAUGAAGAAGGCCUUCGGGUUGUAAAGUACUUUCAGCGGGGAGGAAGGUGUUGAGGUUAAUAACCUCAGCAAUUGACGUUACCCGCAGAAGAAGCACCGGCUAACUCCGUGCCAGCCGCCGCAGUAAAAC
rnacentral:rRNA from 1 species